rnacentral:rRNA from 1 species
GAUGAACGCUGGCGGCGUGCUUAACACAUGCAAGUCGAACGAGAAGUGAAGACGGAAACCUUCGGGUGGAAGGCUUUAUUUCUAGUGGCGGACGGGUGAGUAACGCGUGGGCAACCUGCCUCAUACAGGGGGAUAACAGUUGGAAACGACUGUUAAUACCGCAUAAGACCACAGCACCGCAUGGUGCGGGGGUAAAAACUCCGGUGGUAUGGGAUGGACCCGCGUUCGAUUAGCCAGUUGGCGGGGUAACGGCCCACCAAGGCGACGAUCGAUAGCCGAUCUGAGAGGAUGACCGGCCACAUUGGGACUGAGACACGGCCCAAACUCCUACGGGAGGCAGCAGUGGGGAAUAUUGCACAAUGGGGGAGACCCUGAUGCAGCGACGCCGCGUGAGUGAAGAAGUAUUUCGGUAUGUAAAGCUCUAUCAGCAGGGAAGAAAAUGACGGUACCUGAGUAAGAAGCCCCGGCUAACUACGUG